GCUGGUACUACGAGUGGCAGUGCCGAAA
rnacentral:sRNA from 1 species